rnacentral:tRNA from 3 species
GCCCGAGUGGUGAAAUUGGUAGACACAGGAGACUUAAAAUCUCCCGCUUCGCAGCGUACCGGUUCGAGUCCGGUCUCGGGUACCA